AAAUUUUCGGGAACCAUUACCUAUGGUAUCUGUUCAAAACCAUGACUGGGGAAAACAACAGGUACCAAUUGGGAGAGGUGCUCCACUUCGACUCUACACACUUCAAGCUGAAGGAGAUUCCAUCAGGGAUGUAGAUCUGGCCCGAAUUCAGCCCGAAUCGCUGAACAGAAGCCGCUACGAUGUUCUAGGGAGGAUUCUUUACACAUUUAGCGAAUCAGUUUCUUAAACUGGGCUUUUUGGGGAAUGCUCCUAAGUUAAGGUCCAAGUGAACGUCGUGGGUAUCGGUUCAGGGAUCCUAUAGGCGUAGUUCAGAAGUCAGGACAUCCUCGAGGUCGGGCUUAGAGAGCUUAAGGGUUCAUAGCAUUUUAAGGAUUAUAAAGAGAAAAGACAUGGGCUAGGAGAUCACCGAGGCCGACUUCAGUUCAGACUUUCUACUACAUCGUCGCCGGCGGAUGUUCCGACAUCCUUGGGACUGGCGGAGGAUGUUGGUCCUCAUGUGCACCAUCACCAUCUGAGCCCUUCGGACCUUAGACAAACAUGGAUCCAUCACCUAGGGAUCAAACCCGGGGUGAGUUGCACACCAUAGUGAGCAACGUCGCAUCGACCUCUAUAGUACAGACAAUGAGGUCAGGUCAUGGUGUAGAAAACAACGUCGAGUUACAAAAACACCUAUACAGGACUGGGAAGCGGAUACAGAUCGACAUUCCUCCAUGCUUCAUGGCCCUGUGUGGUAGAAUUUGGUACAAAGCUUGGACUUGGGAGCUCGGCAUUAUAUGCCAACAAUAUGCUCCACUCACUAUAUUCAGUUGGCCGCAAGUGACAGAGGCUCAUCGCGUGGUCCUGUAUAGAUGCAUAUUGGAGGAAUUUGAUAUGGACAUUCUCCAUGUCGACCAUGUAAAAAGGGUGGUUUACAUACAGCUCUGCAGCAAAUUUAAGACCUAUCGCGCGAAAAUGCGCGAACAUUUUAGGACAAUGGGUGAUCAGGGAGAAGCGCACCCAUACGAUAAGAUAUCCCAAGAGGUUUGGGAGGUGGAGUGUGUCCAUUUCCGCGACCCACACUAUCAGGUGAUGUGUUUGUAUUAUUAUAACUACCUUUUCAUAUUGAUGUGGCUAAUAAAGAGUCAUUACAUAUUUUUUGUAGAGUAUAUGUGAAAAAAAUGAUGAGAACCGCAACGAACUCCCUAUGAUGCAUUGUGGUGGGUUGAGGUUUUUCAUCAAUCAUUGAAUGCGUGAUCUUGUGACCGACGUAGAGGAGCCAAUUCUAGAUAUUUAUAAGAGAAGACACCAAAGGCGAUCGAGGGAGUGGUGCCAGGGUGCGCAGGGCAUACAUAUGCUCAAGCUGAGGGAUGCACCGGUACCUUUCCAAAAGGGAGUCAACCAUUGACGGAUUACGAGAUCUCCACUUAGGUGCUUGGGGAACGAGCGGGGGGCUGGGUUAAAGGUCUUGGGAGUGGAUACAUCACCCCAACAACAUCAUCUUCUACGAGUGUGGCAUCUUGUGCUAAGUUUGAAUGAGCGCGUCGAGAUGCUGAGUAUCGAGCGAAUCAGAUGGUUCACCGUAUACAGAUGAUAGAAAUGGAGAAUCAGCAAUUGAAAGAUACGGUUUCUAGCGAUGGCCUAGAGAACCAACAACUAAAAGAGAAGGUGUUUAACUUUGAAGCCAAGCUGGAGUUCCUUAUGAACAGGCAAGCGCAGCUCAAACAAGUGAUGCACCAAUCUUGUCCGGAUGAUGUAGGUGGCUCCUCCUCUCAUUAGAAGGUUGCUAUAUGUAUAAGAUGGUCGCUCAUCGCCCUGCAUUUAAAGCUUUUGUAACUUCUCUUGAUUGUUUAAUUUUUUAGUUAACUCCUUCGAUUUGAAACUAUAUAAUUCGAGUGUUGUCCUGUGUCUCGAGAAUUUUCUUAAUGACAUGCUACAAUUGAAUUUUUUUUUUUUUUUUUGUAUUUUUUUAUCCAAACAGAUGGAAUUUCUAUAUUUGAAUUUAAAUUUGUAUAAUGUAUUUAAA